GGUUAAGCGACUAAGCGUACACGGUGGAUGCCCUGGCAGUCAGAGGCGAUGAAGGACGUGCUAAUCUGCGAAAAGCGCCGGCGAGGUGAUAUGAACCUUUGACCCGGCGAUGUCCGAAUGGGGAAACCCAGUGUGAUUCGUCACACUAUCGUUAACUGAAUACAUAGGUUAACGAGGCGAACCGGGGGAACUGAAACAUCUAAGUACCCCGAGGAAAAGAAAUCAACCGAGAUUCCCCCAGUAGCGGCGAGCGAACGGGGAGCAGCCCAGAGUCUGAAUCAGCUUGUGUGUUAGUGGAAGCGUCUGGAAAGUCGCACGGUACAGG
rnacentral:rRNA from 1 species